rnacentral:RNase_P_RNA from 1 species
ACCACCGCCCUUCUGGUAACAGGAGGGGUCCAUGUAAACCCCAUCCGAAGCAAGACCGAACAGGGAGCAUAAGGCGGCCCGUCUGCUCCCGGGUAGGUCGCUUGAGCCUGCUGGUGACGGCAGGCCUAGAUAGAUGGCCAUUCAACGACAUAACCCGGCUUAUCGUCUUGCUCAAAAC